CCUACGGGUGGCUGCAGUGAGGAAUAUUGGUCAAUGGACGCAAGUCUGAACCAGCCAUGCCGCGUGCAGGAUGACGGCUCUAUGAGUUGUAAACUCCUUUUUUACGAGGGUAAACCCCGACACUUGUUUAGGGUUGAAAGUAUCGUACGAAUAAGGAACGGCUAACUCCGUUCCAGCAGCCGCGGUAAUACGGAGGAUCCGAGCGUUAUCCGGAUUUAUUGGGUGUAAAGGGUGGGUAGGCGGUUCGAUAAGUUAGACGUGAAAUGUAGGGGCUCAACCUCGAAACUGCAUCUUAUACUGUUGGUCUUGAGAAUAGUUGAGGUAGGCGGAAUGUAUAGUGUAGCGGUGAAAUGCUUAGAGAUCAUAAAGAACACCGAUUGCGAAGGCAGCUUGCCAAACAGUAACUGACGUUGAGGCGCGAAAGCGUGGGUAGCAAACAGGAUUAGAUACCCUUGUAGUC
rnacentral:rRNA from 1 species